rnacentral:rRNA from 1 species
UACGUAGGGGGCUAGCGUUGUCCGGAAUCAUUGGGCGUAAAGAGCGUGUAGGCGGCUCGAUAAGUCUGCUGUGAAAGUCCAGGGCUCAACCCUGGAAGGCCGGUGGAAACUGUCGGGCUAGAGUCCGGAAGAGGCGAGUGGAAUUCCCGGUGUAGCGGUGAAAUGCGCAGAUAUCGGGAGGAACACCAAUGGCGAAGGCAGCUCGCUGGGACGGUACUGACGCUGAGACGCGAAAGCGUGGGGAGCAAACAGG